rnacentral:rRNA from 1 species
AUUGAACGCUGGCGGCAGGCUUAACACAUGCAAGUCGAGCGGGGUGAUGGUGCUUGCACUAUCACUUAGCGGCGGACGGGUGAGUAAUGCUUAGGAAUCUGCCUAUUAGUGGGGGACAACAUCCCGAAAGGGAUGCUAAUACCGCAUACGUCCUACGAGAGAAAGCAGGGGAUCACUUGCGACCUUGCGCUAAUAGACGAGCCUAAGUCGGAUUAGCUAGUUGGUGGGUUAAAGGCCUAGCAAGGCGACGAUCUGUAGCGGGUCUGAGAGGAUGAUCCGCCACACUGAGACUGAGACACGGCCCAGACUCCUACGGGAGGCAGCAGUGGGGAAUAUUGGACAAUGGGGGGAACCCUGAUCCAGCCAUGCCGCGUGUGUGAAGAAGGCCUUAUGGUUGUAAAGCACUUUAAGCGAGGAGGAGGCUCUUUUGGUUAAUACCCAAGAUGAGUGGACGUUACUCGCAGAAUAAGCACCGGCUAACUCUGUGCCAGCCGCCGCCGUAA